AUACAGGGGGUGCGAGCGUUAAUCGGAAUUACUGGGCGUAAAGAGUACGUAGGCGGUUGCUUAAGCCAGAUGUGAAAGCCCCGGGCUCAACCUGGGAACUGCAUUUGAAACUGAGUGACUAGAGUUUAAGAGAGGGGAGUAGAAUUCCGGGUGUAGCGGUGAAAUGCGUAGAGAUCCGGAGGAAUACCAGUGGCGAAGGCGGCUCCCUGGCUUAAAACUGACGCUGAGGUACGAAAGCGUGGGUAGCAAACAGGAUUAGAUACCCCAGUAGUCC
rnacentral:rRNA from 1 species